rnacentral:rRNA from 1 species
CCUACGGGAGACAGCAGUGAGGAAUAUUGGUCAAUGGGCGGGAGCCUGAACCAGCCAAGUCGCGUGAGGGAAGACGGUCCUAUGGAUUGUAAACCUCUUUAGGCGGGGAGCAAUGCCGGGCACGCGUGCCCGGAGGGAGAGUACCCGCAGAAUAAGCAUCGGCUAAAUCCGUGCCAGCAGCCGCGGUAAUACGGAGGAUGCGAGCGGUAUCCGGAUUUAUUGGGUUAAAAGGGUGCGUAGGCGGAUUUUUAAGUCAGCGGUAAAAUGUCCGGGCUCAACCCGGGCCGGCCGUUGAAACUGGGGAUCUUGAGUGGGCGAGAAGUAUGCGGAAUGCGUGGUGUAGCGGUGAAAUGCAUAGAUAUCACGCAGAACUCCGAUUGCGAAGGCAGCAUACCGGCGCUCAACUGACGCUCAUGCACGAAAGCGUGGGUAUCGAACAGGAUUAGAUACCCGGGUAGUC